rnacentral:rRNA from 1 species
UACAGAGGUCUCAAGCGUUGUUCGGAUUCAUUGGGCGUAAAGGGUGCGUAGGUGGCGCCGUAAGUCGGGUGUGAAAUUUCGGAGCUUAACUCCGAAAACUGCAUUCGAUACUGCGGUGCUUGAGGACUGGAGAGGAGACUGGAAUUCAUGGUGUAGCAGUGAAAAUGCGUAGAGAUCAUGAGGAAGACCAGUGGCGAAAGGCGGGUCUCUGGACAGUUCCUGACAUGAGGCACGAAGGCCCAGGGGGAGCAAAACGGGG